ACCCUUAGAUAACCCCUAACCUUGAAGGGAGACCUAAUAAAAAAACACACACUCCUUUCUGAGAAAACCAGCAACCACGCCGUUUACCCUUCGACCAUCUCUCUCGCUCUCUCAUCUUCAGAAGCUAAGAGAUCAGAUUCCCCAUUAAAACCUUACCUUACACAGACAGACGCAAAAAAAAACCUUUCUUCUUGAACCAGCAAAGCAAAACCCCAAACCUGUCCAUCUUCUUCAACCUAACACCCUUAACACACCUUAAAAAAAUGUUGGACCUUCUUCUUCUUUCGAUUUUCAGCAGCCAACGUCAAAAAAACUCUCCAGCCGCUGCUGCUUCUUCAGCACACCACCGAACCAUCGAAGAACAGAUAUAGACCUAGCAGCUGAAAAAGAAAACGCAACAGCAUUAAGAAAUUGGCAGCAACAUAACCAUUCUAGCCAUCUCCCCUCCCAUCGCCGCUGCUUCUCAUCUCGAACACACACACACAAAGAAUCGAAAAAAAAAUAGUUUUCUGCCGUUCAAUUUUCACUCAUGGAGUUUGUUUGAGCGCUGAGUCGUAUCGUGGUUCAGGGGUGUUUGUUCGAGGACGAGGUUCGUGGUUCCGAGACCGAUUUGCUGUCGUCUUCUCGUUCAGACUUUAGACUCAAAUCUCACUCGACUAAGUUGCUGUAAUUGCUGAAAUCCUAUUAAUUGAAAGCUCUCAUUGAGGUAUGAGUGAACUACCUGGUGUUGUGCUUAAGGAAGAACAGCCCGUGGUUACGGCUACGCUUGUUGGAUUCAGUGGACGUGGUAGAUUUGGUGGCGCAGGUGGUAGACGUGGUGGGUAUUGAUAAUGGGUCUGUAGUUUUUUUGUUUAAAUGCGAUUGUGUUGGUUCUUUUUGGUGUUAUGAGAAUAAGUGCGUCUGUUAAAUUCUAGGCUUGAAGUUAUCUGAUUGUGGUUCUAAAAUUUGUGUGAUGAUUUUCCGGAUAGGGGAACGUUUAGGUGCAUUUUGAAUUUAUUAUCGUGAUUAUGUA